GACGAACGCUGGCGGCGUGCCUAAUACAUGCAAGUAGAACGCUGAAGGAGGAGCUUGCUCUUCUGGAUGAGUUGCGAACGGGUGAGUAACGCGUAGGUAACCUGCCUGGUAGCGGGGGAUAACUAUUGGAAACGAUAGCUAAUACCGCAUAAGAGUAGAUGUUGCAUGACAUUUACUUAAAAGGUGCAAUUGCAUCACUACCAGAUGGCCCUGCGUUGUAUUAGCUAGUUGGUGGGGUAACGGCUUACCAAGGCGACGAUACAUAGCCGACCUGAGAGGGUGAUCGGCCACACUGGGACUGAGACACGGCCCAGACUCCUACGGGAGGCAGCAGUAGGGAAUCUUCGGCAAUGGACGGAAGUCUGACCGAGCAACGCCGCGUGAGUGAAGAAGGUUUUCGGAUCGUAAAGCUCUGUUGUAAGAGAAGAACGAGUGUGAGAGUGGAAAGUUCACACUGUGACGGUAUCUUACCAGAAAGGGACGGCUAACUACGUG
rnacentral:rRNA from 1 species